ensembl:lncRNA
GCUAUAUAUAUAUAUAUACACACACACACACACACACACAUUAUUUUUAUUAAAAUUAACAAAGAGAUCUGAUGGUGUUUUAUUUGUUCAGGACGGGCGUCUGAUAGCAGAUCCAUCAGAUCCUCAAACACUGAUUGUUCCUGUGACGGCUGUAAAAUCUGAUCGUCUCGUCACGUCUCACUGUGUGAAUCUGAAUCAUGAAAUCAUCUGUGAUUCUGCUGAUGGAGUAAAUCAACUUAAUCGCUCAACAUUCAUCUGUUUUCAUUAUCAGUAUCCUUAUGUUCGUUGGGUGAAAAAGAAAACCUCAAUAAACAAAGUAAAAAAGAAUUUGACUGAUAUCAUUCNUGAGAUAAACUCUGUGUUGAACUGAAUCUUGUGUGAAUCUUCAAGUGAAUCAGGAUGAUUGUGGAUGUGUUUUUCAGUGAGGAAUGAAACUGCAGCGACUCCAAACUCAGGUGAGGUUCAGCUGAUAAACGUCUGAUUAUUCACUAAUAAAACACUGCAGAUCUGAUCCACUUUCACUCUUUUCUCUCAUAUUGACUCAUAUUUGCGAUCACUGUGAAGAUCUCCUGAAUGAAGUGACUCCAGAUCUCCAUCAUUCAGUAGAUCACUUCUGGUGGCUUUUGGCUGUUUUCAUCAUUGUUCUUCUCAUCAUCUUCUUGAUCCGUAAAAGGAUCUUCAGGUGACGUGAUCAAUCUUAAAGAAUCGUUAAAUCUCACUCUAUAUUUCAUCAUGAAUCACAUUUCUCUUCAUCUUCAGAUUACUGAAUCUAUCAGUCUGAAUGAACUCAGGUCUGUGCUGGAUGUGAUAAUAUGUAAUAAUCAGAUUCAAUCUGUUGUCAGAUGUUUUCAGAGGUUCAUCUGUCAGCGUGACGAAGAUGAUUCAGAAAACAGGGAUCCUGAAGCUGCUGUCCAAAUGAUCUGAUGCUCCUGAUUCACUGAAUCAAUCUCAGUGUGAAUCGACUCACGUCAUUUACUCAAACGUCACUGUGAUCUUUGACAUGAAGAUGAUGAAGGGAGUUUGCAUUCAUUCUGAGCUUCUCAACUCUUAUUUAUUCUCAUUCGUCCUCAAAUGUAAUGCAUAUGAUUACAUGAGAUAUAAAACACUGAAGCAUCUUACAAUCAAAAUGUGUUGCGUUUGUUUUGUACAUCAUUUAUCAGUUUAAUAAUUCAUGAUCAUUUCGUCAUUUACAUCUAUUCAUUCAAUCGUUUAUAUUGUUUUAUUAUGUUUUAGAUUAUUGUUAUUAGGUUGUUCAUCCUGGUGUUUUUCAUGCUUCAUGUAAUGUGUGUCAUCAUGAAUGAGACGAGGGUGAAUGUCUCCAGCUGCAGGGUUUUAAAGGAUGUCUUGUUAUACAGUAAUAACUCUUGCUGUAGGUUGUACUGAUCAGAUGAAGUCUGACUGAGCAGUGAAACAGACACAACUAAGGUUUUGCAGAGGAGCAGUCAUCUGAGUGUUCAAACUAAAAUCAGGUGGAAAGAACAGGGAGGAGAGGAAAAAUAAACAGAUGAAGUAUCAGAUUGGUGAUGUAUGU